rnacentral:rRNA from 1 species
AUUGAACGCUGGCGGCAGGCCUAACACAUGCAAGUCGAGCGAGAGGCGGACGGGUGAGUAAUGUCUGGGAAACUGCCUGAUGGAGGGGGAUAACUACUGGAAACGGUAGCUAAUACCGCAUCCCAUCAGAUGUGCCAAGAUGUGAUUAGCUAGUAGGUGGGGUAACGGCUCACCUAGGUCACGAGCCCUCUCUGGUCUGAGCGGAUGACCAGCCACACGGGAACUGAGCCACGGUCCAGACUCCUACGGGAGGCAGCAGUGGGGAAUAUUGCACAAUGGGCGCAAGCCUGAUGCAGCCAUUCCGCUUGUGUGAAGAAGGCCUUCGGGUUGUAAAGCACUUUCAGCGGGGAGGCGUUACCCGCAGAAGAAGCACCGGCUAACUCCGUGCCAGCAGCCGCGGUAAUAC